rnacentral:lncRNA from 1 species
ACAAACUGGUUUUCAAAGCAACUGUACCAUUUUACAUUCCCUCCAUCGAUGUAUGAGGGUUCCAAUUUCUUCACAUCCUAACACCUGUUGUUGAUUGUGGUCUUCAAGGAGGAGGUAUGGAGAAGCAUCUCCUUGUGAUUUUGACUUCCUUUCCCAACAUCAUUAGUGAUGUCAAGCAUCUUUCUAUGUGUUCAUUGUCUAUUUAAUAUCUUCUUUGGAGAAAUUUUCAUUCAAGUGUGUUCAUUUUUAAUUGGAUUAUUUGUUUUUAUUGUUGAGUUGUCAGAGUUCUUUUAAAAUUGUGGUUUAAUAACCAUAUAUAACAAACUUUACCAUCUUAAUACAUUUAAGUAUGCAUUUUAGUGUUAAGUACAUUCACAUUGUUGUGUAUCCAAUCUCCAAAACAUUUUCAUAUUGCAAAUCUGAAAUUCUAUACCCAUAAACAACUUCUCCUUUCCCUCCUUCCUCAGCCCUUGGCAUCCAGCAUUCUUUUGGUUUCUAUGAUUUUUUUUUUUCUUGGUGGUGCUUGGGAUUAACCCAGGAACUCAUGCAUGUGAGGGAAACACUCUCCCAACUUGCCUAUAU